rnacentral:rRNA from 1 species
ACUCCUACGGGAGGCAGCAGCAAGGAAUAUUGGGCAAUGAGCGAAAGCUUGACCCAGCGACACCGCGUGAGGGAAUAAGGCCUUCGGGUUGUAAACCUCUUUUCUCGGGGAAGAAUAUUGACGGUACUCGAGGAAUAAGUCUCGGCUAACUACGUGCCAGCAGCCGCGGCAAGACGUAGGAGGCAAACGUUAUCCGGAUUUACUGGGCGUAAAGAGAGCGUAGGUGGUUCUUUAAGUCAGGUGUGAAAUCUUUUGGCUUAACCAGAAGGGGUCAUCUGAUACUGGGGGGCUUGAGGACAGCAGAAGAAAAUGGAAUUCCCAGUGUAGCGGUGAAAUGCAUUGAUAUUGGGAAGAACACCAGUGGCGAAGGCGAUUUUCUAGGUUGUUCCUGACACUGAGGCUCGAAAGCGUGGGGAGCGAAGCGGAUUAGAUACCCGCGUAGUCCACGCCGUAAACGGUGGACACUAGAUAUGGGGAGUAUCGACCCUUUUCGUGUCGAAGCUAACGCUUUAAGUGUCCCGCCUGGGAAGUACGGCCGCAAGGCUAAAACUUAAAGGAAUUGACGAGGGCCCGCACAAGCAGCGGAGCGUGUGGUUUAAUUCGAUGAUACACGAAGAACCUUACCAGGGCUUGACAUGCUAGAAGUAGGAAUCCGAAAGGAGGACGACCUGUAUCCAAUCAGGAGCUAACACAGGUGCUGCAUGGCUGUCGUCAGCUCGUGCCGUGAGGUGUUGGGUUAAGUCCCGCAACGAGCGCAACCCUUGUCCUAUGUUAAAUUCUCAUAGGAGACUGCUUUGUACAGCAAAGAGGAAGGUGANGAUGACGUCAAGUCAGCAUGGNCUUUAUGCCCUGGGCUACACACACGCUACAAUGGGUGAUACANANGGUUGCCAAANANCGAUCUGGANCUAAUCCCAAAAAAUCAUUCUUAGUUCGNAUU